GACAGAGGUUGCAAACGUUGUUCGGAAUUACUGGGCAUAAAGGGCGCGUAGGCGGCUUGUACAGUCAGAUGUGAAAUUCCUGGGCUCAACCUGGGGGCUGCAUUUGAUACGUAUGGGCUUGAGUGGGGAAGAGGGUCGUGGAAUUCCCAGUGUAGAGGUGAAAUUCGUAGAUAUUGGGAAGAACACCGGUGGCGAAGGCGGCGACCUGGUCCUUGACUGACGCUGAGGCGCGAAAGCGUGGGGAGCAAACAGG
rnacentral:rRNA from 1 species